ensembl:lncRNA
GGAAGAUCCAGUGAGAUAAUGAUGACGAGAGGCACCACUGAGUUCGCUUGCUCUGCGAUCUUCUGAAAAUGGACGAAAGAAAGGCUUUAUAAUUCAAAAGAUCUGUGGUCCCAGGGACACGAAUUCCUUGUGUGGGCGUCUAGGACACAGCCACAAUAGACACUGCACAGGAAGACCUGAAGCUGGCAGAGCCUUAUUCCAGAGUCCAGCAAAGCAAGUCCUACCGCCUUUUCCAGCUCUGUUGGAAUUUGUGAACUCUUGUUAAUUAGCCUCCUCAGCUGCUUGCCUACCAUGGAUUUACUCUCCCUUCUCAGAAGCAGACACAUUCCUGAAGAUUUGCGCAACCUGACCACAGAAACGUCACACUUCAAGCCCAGGUAACUAGAGGCAACCAAAUAGUGUCCAGUCAGCCAAUGGCCACUGAGCAACCAAGGGAGCCCAGAACCCUGUACGAGGCAACUGUGAUAUAUAUGGAAGAAAAGAGCAGCCCAAGCCUCCUGACUGUGUCUGGGUCACUGUCCUCAAAAAGUCCGGUGGAAAAAGAAUGAUGCAGGCCAGAAGGCCGGGGGGCUGGGGUGGUGGGAGAGAGAGAGAGAGAGAGAACGUGUGGAAGAGCCUGGUUGCCCUACAGAGCCAGGGAAGGAAAUCAGGUGGAAGGGAGCCCCCAGGUCACACACCUGAAGGUGUCACUGCCAACUCCCCAGAGGCCAAAAAGCCCGGGUCAGCCAGUCAAGAAGUGGAUUUUCUUCUAAACCUGAAGCCCCAGAAUGAAACCACCCAGUUCCCGCCUCUUUUCCACCAGCUGUGUCAGAGACUCUACCAGUGGAACCUCAUCUUCAGCCUUCAUUUCCAGUGUUGGUUUUGUUUAAUAUGGCAAGGCAGGAAAAUGUUCGUGUAGGGAUCUGCCCUAGGUUAAGUUGUGCUGAAGGACGGAGGAGAGAAUUCAAGAAGCGGCGCAAACCACCACCAACAGCUCUGCAACCGAGGUGGGGCCUUCGCCAAUUAGGAUUGGAACGGUGGGGUUCAAAUAAAAAAACUGAUGUGAAAGCCCGACCUGGUCCAUCGGAACCACAUAAACGCAUUUGUUCUUUCCCUGUGGUAGAUGUUGCCCUUUGUGGGAGGGCGGAGGAGGGAGAAGCAGCUUCCAUAUUGAGCCGGUACAUUUUGUGACUGCCCCGGAGCGUCAUCACCUCCACUCCUGCCAUCCCAGUCCAAGACCUCUCCUCCUGAAUGGCCUCCCUGCUUGCACUCUUCGCUCCUAGAGUUUAUUCUCCACACAACAGCCAGAGUGAUGUUUUUAAACACAGAAAUUGUAUCUUGUCACUUUCCUGUUGAAAACUCUUCAAACGCCCCCAUCACACUUGAGAGUGGAAUUCAAACACUUUACCACGGGUCACGGGGCCCAGCAGGACCCGGCCCUGCUGACUUCCUCCCGCGGCCCACGCGGCUGCAGCCACAGUCACCUUUGCUCCUAGCGGUUCCCUCGGCCUGGAAGACCCUCUGCUCUGCUCACCCGCCUUGGAGGUCUCGUCUGACGGCCCAAACUACAUGAGCGACUCCCACCAUAACUCUAUUCCGUUUGCCUCAUGGCAAAUGGGAACGACACUAACUCCACCAGUCCUGUGUAUCAUUUGUUGACUUGUUUACUGCCUGUCUUCCCGCAACAAUACAAGCCCUGAAGGGAGGGCAGGGUGUCUGUCUGCGCCAUCGCGGCACCCCAGCGCCAAGAGCCCGGCACGUGGCGGACCUCCAGCGUCCGCGGGGGAAAUGGCCUCUUCAAAUCCUGGCCGUGCUGCGAGGCGCGAGAGGAGCUUCCGUCGGGCUCAGGGUGGGAGCCUUCCCUCCCAGGGCACCUCGCUCCUUCGCCCCCCCGCCCUUCUCACACCGAAGGCCCCUCCAGGCAGGACGGGCGGUCUUCCAGGCCCUUCUCAGAGACUGGGGCCGCCCUCAAGUCCUCCCACACCAGGGGCUCAGAGACGCCGCCCUUUUCCUAAAACAGGCCCCGCCGGGUGCGCGCAACGCCCCCUCAGGCCCCCAAUCAGGGGCAGAGCGGGGUCCCGAGCUGUCCACCGGAAAACGGGGCGGGCCCCCCGGCCCAUCAGUACUAUCGGUUCAGCGCCCUCACUCUGUCCCCUUCCCUGGCUAGGGACCCCCCAGGGCCGUGUCGGGGAAGCAGGAGGCUCCAGGCGUCAAGGGCAACGAGGACACUCAGGCCCGAAUCCGGGACGGGCCCACGUCGCGCAGCAGCAGAACCUUUCUUCACCACGGCCUCGU